AUUUGAAUAUUAGUGUCGUCUGCUUUGGCUUUGUUCACCACUUUCGAAAAACGAGACGAAGUUUAGCACGACAAAGAAAAUGGAACCAUGGUAUAGGAGUGAUGGAACGAUCACUUUGUUGAAAACGUACACGUGGGUGUACGAAAAAUAGCAAAACCAAUAAAAUUACCAAAAUACGGUCGCCGUGGGAACUCUGGUGUCGUGGCUCUUUAUGGAAUGGCUUAUUGCACACUCCAUGCUGUUUAGCAGGUUUGAGACCAGAGAGCCAGCCGUCAUAACUCACAACCACAUGAUCUUCAAGUUUUGCUUGUGCUAGUAUUGUCCUCUCAUCAGCAAAAAUCUCAACAGUAUCAUUGCUUGGAUAAACAGCAUCCGGAUUGGAGAAACUACCGAUAUCGGCCGGAUUACGUACUUCCGCAAUUCUUAAAAAACCCUCUGUCCUCGUGUAC